AGCGUCCUGCAGUCCCUACUAAAGCAGCUUCCUGCUGGAUGCUGCGGUCCAGAGAGAUGGCGGCGGCUCCGCCCACGCACGGGCACAACCCUGCGGAAGGGUACAUGUAAUCCUCACCCCCAUUAAGAAAACUUCUCUUUGCAACAGAUGGUGACCAUCACAGAAAAUCACACUCAAUCAAAAUGCAGAGCUGUGAAGCCCAGUCCCACCUGAUACAUCUGCAACACAACCCCGCACCUAAGGCUCUGGGAUAACUAUGGAAGAGGGGGCAGAAAGACAGUAAGAAAAAGAGUACCAGGAAGUUUACCGUGAGUUUGUGUCUCCUAGGAGUGUCAGAAGCUACACCCUAGAAGUCUCCGCAACAUGACUGCCUAAACAUGACCACAACAAGGAUGGCAUGAAUGGACAUGCUGGCAUGGAUAGGGAAAGGCCCAAAAGGCCUCAGAUGUACAUAAAAUCCUAUGGGCAGGUCUAAAUUAGCCGGGCGACCUGGAAGAACAAGCAGCCUCCUUCAACACAAACUGGUAAGGAAAAGGACGACAAGAUCAAGAACAAAAUGAGCAAAGGGUUUUCACAAUCAAGUCACUACGAGGAAGCCCCAUGGCUAACACACAGUUGAAUAAAGAUGGUUUCAAGUCUGCAAUUUUGACAAAGAAGAAGAAUGUCUAAAGAGUGGCAGAAAUGUACACAAGCGUUCUUUGUGACAAGCCUGAACAUUGGACUUACCUGCCUAGACCAAAAAAGAAAAAGAGCACUAGGCAUUGUUAGCGCUGACCAAUGACUGCUUUAGA